rnacentral:rRNA from 1 species
AGAGUUUGAUCAUGGCUCAGGAUGAACGCUGGCGGCGUGCCUAAUACAUGCAAGUCGAACGCUUUGUCUUUAAUCUGAUCUGACGAGCUUGCUCUGAUGUGAUUUUAUCUGACAAAGAGUGGCGAACGGGUGAGUAACACGUGGGUAACCUACCUCUUAGCAGGGGAUAACACUUGGAAACAAGUGCUAAUACCGUAUAAUACUAACAACCGCAUGGUUGUUAGUUGAAAGAUGGUUCUGCUAUCACUAAGAGAUGGACCCGCGGUGCAUUAGCUAGUUGGUAAGGUAACGGCUUACCAAGGCAAUGAUGCAUAGCCGAGUUGAGAGACUGAUCGGCCACAAUGGGACUGAGACACGGCCCAUACUCCUACGGGAGGCAGCAGUAGGGAAUCUUCCACAAUGGGCGCAAGCCUGAUGGAGCAACGCCGCGUGUGUGAUGAAGGGUUUCGGCUCGUAAAACACUGUUAUAAGAGAAGAACGGCACUGAGAGUAACUGUUCAGUGUGUGACGGUAUCUUACCAGGAAGGAACGGCUAAAUACGUGCCAGCAGCCGCGGUAAUACGUAUGUUCCAAGCGUUAUCCGGAUUUAUUGGGCGUAAAGCGAGCGCAGACGGUUAUUUAAGUCUGAAGUGAAAGCCCUCAGCUCAACUGAGGAAUGGCUUUGGAAACUGGAUGACUUGAGUGCAGUAGAGGAAAGUGGAACUCCAUGUGUAGCGGUGAAAUGCGUAGAUAUAUGGAAGAACACCAGUGGCGAAGGCGGCUUUCUGGACUGUAACUGACGUUGAGGCUCGAAAGUGUGGGUAGCAAACAGGAUUAGAUACCCUGGUAGUCCACACCGUAAACGAUGAGUGCUAGAUGUUCGAGGGUUUCCGCCCUUGAGUGUCGCAGCU